UACGUAGGGUGCGAGCGUUAAUCGGAAUUACUGGGCGUAAAGCGUGCGCAGGCGGCGGCUCAAGUCAGGUGCGAAAUCCCCGGGCUUAACCUGGGAAUUGCGCUUGAAACUAGGCUGCUUGAGUGUGGCAGAGGGGGGUGGAAUUCCGACGUGUAGCAGUGAAAUGCGUAGAGAUGUGGAGGAACACCGAUGGCGAAGGCAGCCCCCUGGGUCAACACUGACGCUCAUGCACGAAAGCGUGGGGAGCAAACAGG
rnacentral:rRNA from 1 species